ensembl:lncRNA
GGCAGAUAAGUUAGGAGCAGGUAUGUUGGCAUGUAUCAGGGGCAGAUAAGUUAGGAGCAGGUAUGUUGGCAUGUAUCAGGGGCAGAUAAGUUAGGAGCAGGUAUGUUGGCAUGUAUCAGGGGCAGAUAAGUUAGGAGCAGGUAUGUUGGCAUGUAUCAGGGGCAGGUAAGUUAGGAGCAGGUAUGUUGGCAUGUAUCAGGGGCAGGUAAGUUAGGAGCAGGUAUGUUGGCAUGUAUCAGGGGCAGGUAAGUUAGGAGCAGGUAUGUUGGCCUCAUGUUCUGGCUGCAAGUCAUCUGGUGACUGAGGUGGUGUGUUUCCUGAUAGGUUGGUCUCAUGUUC